GAAAAUGAUUCACUUUCCUGGGCUCCUGUGUCCCAGCGUCAGCCCAGCACUCUGGAAGGCUGAGGCAGAAGGUUCACAAGUUCAAGCCCCACCUGGGCAAAUUGAGGGACCUAGUGAGAUCCUGUGUCGAAAAUUAAAAAAAAAAAAUUAAGUGUAUAGCAAUUAAUACUACCAUAAUUUUUACUUUCUCCCAAAGAACUUGAUUGAGAAUAGACAGUGUAGUGGUAGGGGUAUUAUUUGCCCAUGCUGUUUGAAUAUAAACUGCCUCAUCCUUUUGUGGGUCCAGACAUGAUCUCACCCAGGUUUGGUGUUGCUUUGAGAUCCCCACCACUCCCAUCUAGGCCACCUCUUAUCUGAAUUGCUCCUCCACAGGUCUUUUCCAUCCUCCCCACCCUGUGACCUCACUGGCUAUGUCCUUCCCAGUCAUUGGAGUCCUACCCCAGCCCCCACCAUUGCUAGAUCCAGCUUUGCUAUGGAGUCUUCAGUCUCAGACCUGGUCCCUACCCAUCACUCUGGCAUUGUUGAGGUCCCUCAUCCUGAGAAGACCCUCGAUGAGCUAGCUGUGUUUCCUGCCUCUGUCACUGCAAGAUGCAGAGCUACGCUGAGAUUUUCAACUUCUCUCUGAGCAGGGAUCCUAUUGCUAUUGAAAUGUCAUUCACAGUGCAUUAAAGUCCUCAAGCCUUUAUCUCCAUACUUCAUAAUAACAGGAGCUAAUGCUUAUUUUGUUCUUGCUCUUGCCAGGCACAGAGCUUCUUAGCGCUUCACUUUUAUGAUUUGAUCCUAGCAAAAAUCUUCUAAACUAGAUGCCACGGCAUCAGCCCUGUUUUACAGAUGAGAAAACUGACGUCCUGAAAGUUUGACCUGACCAAUGUCAAUUAUCCAGUAAAGGUUUCAAAGGGCAGCCUUUCAUCAGUAUGUCCACCAUCACAUCCCAGUGCCCACCAGGCCUCCUGCCAAGAAGCAUAGGACAGAGAAAGAUGCAGAAGGUGUUGAGCAGAAAUUGUCCCCGUCAGCCCUGCCCUUGACGGCCGAUGCCCUCUCCUGGCUAUCUCCAAGGAAGACUGACCCGCUUUGCUCUUGGUCUGAAAAUGCACACAAACCUUUGUAUUCUCAGGAUGGGUGCUAAUAUUAACUGCAGGCAAACAAGACAUGAGCCAGCACUGAAGAUAUGCCGAAGGCCCCACAGCAUCUCCCACAAAGGAAAUAGGAGAUGACAAGGUUGGGCAUGUGCCAAGAGCUCCAUUGGGUUCUCGGCUUGGCAGAAAGUGGCCACGGCUAUCUGCUCUCCUAAGAGGUGGUGGACAUUUGGCCCAGGCACCCUAGGUGGGCACAAUGCAUUAACCAUGAGGCUGGUCAAAGAGAAAAGGGCUUCCUAGAGACACAAGAGAAAACCCACAAGGUACAGAACACACCAACAGGAAUCCGGUCCACCCCUAAGAGUAUGGGUGCUGAAGAA
rnacentral:lncRNA from 1 species